rnacentral:rRNA from 1 species
ACAAUAAGUUUGAUGUCAAAUAUGAUGGCUCAACCAUCAAGAGGCGUUGAAAACUGUUUAUCUAGAAUCUCGGAGAGGUAAGUGGAAUUCCAUGUGUAGCGGUGGAAUGCGUAGAUAUAUGGAGGAACACCAAUGGCGAAGGCACGCUUACUGGACGAAGAUUGACGCUGGUACGGUGCGAAAGCGUGGGUAGCCAAACAGGAUUAGAUACCCUGGUAG